rnacentral:lncRNA from 1 species
AGGUUUGCUUUUAACAUGGCUGCUCUUAGGUUUGGAUUUUGAUUUGCAACUGCACUCAGCCUUGAAUCCAAUGCCAGAUUUGUUUCCAGUUAUUUGCCCAGUCUGGAGAAUCUUGUCUAGGGUGGCAGAUCCAUUGUUAAGCAUUUUUACAUACUUAGUCAUCUCAUCUAGUUUGGAAUUCAAGAAUACAGCCUCAGUUUCCAAUUUUGAGAUGGUUUCCA